rnacentral:lncRNA from 1 species
UCCCAGUCCCCAAAAGGGAGAGGGACAUUGAUACCGUCAAAUCACCAAGAAUCAAAAACUUGGUGGAGGUUCUUCUUGCCUGCCCUCUUUAUGUUCAAGACGAGAACCUAUUGUCUGGGACCGGUUCCAUUGCGGAAGCUGUUUAUGAGUGAAGUUCGUUCCGUCCUUCGCACGGGUAUAGCGCAACUCACUCUUGACCAAGAUCGUUUCUAUUUCUUUUUUUCGAGAGAAGAGCUC